GAAAAUGAAACAGAGAUUACAUGGAGGAAAAAAAAAUUAAAACUUUAUCAUACAAAAGAAGGGUACAACUUUUCCUCUAGUUUCUGCUGAACAAACUUCUUAAUUUCCCUCUUUCUAAUCGCUCGAGCAGCUUCUUAGCCCCUGGGAUGUCCAUCUCAGUGAGUUUCUUGAGGUAACCAAUUGCACCAUAGGAAAUCAUAAGCUUUUUACAUUUCUUGCUUGAAGAAAGAGAUGCUAGGCAGGACACAGCGUACUUCUUUGCGGUGUUUUGUGGACUUGGGUCAAGCAAUUGCACCAGAUUUGGCACACUUUUAUCAUUCUUUUUAACUUCUCUGCAAUUCUGUGAAAGGUAUACCAAACUUGCAAUUGCUUGUGCAGAAACCUCCCUAACACUGUUUGAUUUAGCCUCGAGCAAUUUGAUGAACAGAGGAAUGCAUCCAGCUUCGCCCACCAAUUUUUUCAUCUCCGUUGAGCUGCAAACCCGACAAAUUGCAGAUGCAGCGGCUUGUUGUGCACCCAACGAUCCAGAUUUAAGGACAUGAACCAAGCGAGGGAGGAAACCAAGAGAAACCAACAUUUCCACAGACACUGAGGUUACCAAAUUCCUUAAUGCUGCAACUGCAGAUUCUUGGGGCAAUGGACCAUCUAGAUAUGCCAAUAGCCUUCGGAUUCCACCUUCUGAAAUGACAAUUCUCCUUAGAUUGUUAUUGCUGGCAGUGAGAUUCUGCAAGCAUUCUGCCGCAUAUUCUUUAGAUCCUAGUAGAAUUCCACAAUCAAGGAG
rnacentral:misc_RNA from 1 species